rnacentral:rRNA from 1 species
AUGAACGCUGGCGGCGUGCUUAACACAUGCAAGUCGAACGAAGUGCUUUAGACAAUCCCUUCGGGGUGCGUUCUAAAGUAUCUUAGUGGCGGACGGGUGAGUAACGCGUGGGUAACCUGCCUUGUACAGGGGGAUAACAGUUAGAAAUGACUGCUAAUACCGAAUGACGUUUCCUGGUCGCAUGACCUGGAAACCAAAGGCCGGGCAACCGGUCACUGAAGGAUGGGCCUGCGUCUGAUUAGCUAGUUGGUGGGGUAACGGCCUACCAAGGCGACGAUCAGUAGCCGGUCUGAGAGGAUGAACGGCCACAUUGGGACUGAGACACGGCCCAAACUCCUACGGGAGGCAGCAGUGGGGAAUCUUCCGCAAUGGGCGCAAGCCUGACGGAGCAACGCCGCGUGAGUGAAGAAGGUUUUCGGAUCGUAAAGCUCUGUUGAGAGGGACGAGAGAUAUAAUCAGGAAAUGGGUUAUAGAGGACGGUACCUUUCGAGGAAGCCACGGCUAACUACGUG